AAGGCCUUCGGGUUGUAAAGUACUUUCAGCGGGGAGGAGGGAAAAGGGAGUAAAAGUUUAAUACCUUUUGGCUCAAUUGACGGUUAACCCGCAAGAGAGGAAGCACCCGGGCUAACUCCCGGUGCCCAGCAAGCCCGCGGUAAUACGGGAAGGGUGCAAGGCGUUAAUCGGGAAUUACUGGGGCGUAAAGCGCACGGCCAGGCGGUUUGUUAAGUCAAGAUGUGAAAUCCCCCGGGGCUCAACCUUGGGGAACUGCAUUCUGAUACUGGCAAGGCUUGAGUUCUCGUAGAGGGGGGGUAGAAUUCCAGGGUGUAGCGGUGAAAUGCGUAGAGAUCUGGAGGAAUACCGGUGGCGAAGGCGGCCCCCUGGACGAAGACUGACGCUCAGGUGCGAAAGCGUGGGGAGCAAACAGGAUUAGAUACCCUGGUAGUCCACGCCGUAAACGAUGUCGACUUGGAGGUUGUGCCCUUGAGGCGUGGCUUCCGGAGCUAACGCGUUAAGUCGACCGCCUGGGGAGUACGGCCGCAAGGUUAAAACUCAAAUGAAUUGACGGGGGCCCGCACAAGCGGUGGAGCAUGUGGUUUAAUUCGAUGCAACGCGAAGAACCUUACCUGGUCUUGACAUCCACAGAACUUUCCAGAGAUGGAUUGGUGCCUUCGGGAACUGUGAGACAGGUGCUGCAUGGCUGUCGUCAGCUCGUGUUGUGAAAUGUUGGGGUUAAGUCCCGCAACGAGCGCAACCCUUUAUCCUUUGUUGCCAGCGGUCCGGCCGGGAACUCAAAGGAGACUGCCAGUGAUAAACUGGAGGAAGGUGGGGAUGACGUCAAGUCAUCAUGGCCCUUACGACCAGGGCUACACACGUGCUACAAUGGCGCAUACAAAGAGAAGCGACCUCGCGAGAGCAAGCGGACCUCAUAAAGUGCGUCGUAGUCCGGAUUGGAGUCUGCAACUCGACUCCAUGAAGUCGGAAUCGCUAGUAAUCGUGGAUCAGAAUGCCACGGUGAAUACGUUCCCGGGCCUUGUACACACCGCCCGUCACACCAUGGGAGUGGGUUGCAAAAGAAGUAGGUAGCUUAACCUUCGGGAGGGCG
rnacentral:rRNA from 1 species